rnacentral:misc_RNA from 1 species
GAAAUGCGAUAAGUAAUGUGAAUUGCAGAAUUCAGUGAAUCAUCGAAUCUUUGAACGCACAUUGCGCCCGCCAGUAUUCUGGCGGGCAUGCCUGUUCGAGCGUCAUUACAACCCUCAGGCCCCCGGGCCUGGCGUUGGGGAUCGGCGGAAGCCCCCUGCGGGCACAACGCCGUCCCCCAAAUACAGUGGCGGUCCCGCCGCAGCUUCCAUUGCGUAGUAGCUAACACCUCGCAACUGGAGAGCGGCGCGGCCACGCCGUAAAACACCCAACUUCUGAAUGUUGACCUCGAAUCAGGUAGGAAUACCCGCUCAACUUAAGC